UACCAUGGCGACGAUCUGUAGCUGGUCUGAGAGGAUGAUCAGCCACACCGGGACUGAGACACGGCCCGGACUCCUACGGAAGGCAGCAGUGGGGAAUAUUGGACAAUGGGGGGAACCCUGAUCCAGCCAUGCCGCGUGUGUGAAGAAGGCCUUUUGGUUGUUAAGCACUUUAAGCAGUGAAGAAGACCUAACGGUUAAUACCCGUUAGCGAUGACAUUAGCUGCAGAAUAAGCACCGGCUAACUCUGUGCCAGCAGCCGCGGUAAUACAGAGGGUGCAAGCGUUAAUCGGAAUUACUGGGCGUAAAGCGAGCGUAGGUGGCUUGAUAAGUCAGAUGUGACAUCCCCGGGCUUAACCUGGGAACUGCAUCUGAUACUGUUAAGCUAGAGUAGGUGAGAGGGAAUAGAAUUCCAGGUGUAGCGGUGAAUGCGUAAAGAUCUGGAGAAUACCGAUAGCGAAGCAGCUUCCUGGAUCAUACUGACACUGAGGCUCGAAGCGUGGAAGCAAACAGGAUAGAUACCUGGUAGCCACGCCGUAACGAUGUCUACUAGUCGUGGGUCCUUGAGGACUUAGUGACGCAGCUAACGCAAUAAGUAGACCGCCUGGGGAGUACGGCCGCAAGGUUAAACUCAAAUGAAUUGACGGGGGCCCGCACAAGCGGGGAGCAUGUGGUUUAAUUCGAUGCAACGCGAAGAACCUUACCUGGUCUUGACAUACACAGAAUCUCGUAGAGAUACGAGAGUGCCUUCGGGAAUUGUGAUACAGGUGCUGCAUGGCUGUCGUCAGCUCGUGUCCUGAGAUGUUGGGUUAAGUCCCGCAACGAGCGCAACCCUUGUCUUUAGUUACCAGCGGUUUGGCCGGGAACUCUAAGGAUACUGCCAGUGACAAACUGGAGGAAGGCGGGGACGACGUCAAGUCAUCAUGGCCCUUACGACCAGGGCUACACACGUGCUACAAUGGUAGGUACAGAGGGCAGCUACACAGCGAUGUGAUGCGAAUCUCAAAAAGCCUAUCGUAGUCCAGAUUGGAGUCUGCAACUCGACUCCAUGAAGUAGGAAUCGCUAGUAAUCGCGGAUCAGAAUGCCGCGGUGAAUACGUUCCCGGGCCUUGUACACACCGCCC
rnacentral:rRNA from 1 species